rnacentral:rRNA from 1 species
GGANAAAGACUGACGCUCAGGUGCGAAAGCGUGGGGAGCAAACAGGAUUAGAUACNNGGUAGUCCACGCUGUAAACGAUNUCGACUUGGAGGUUGUGCCCUNGAGGCGUGGCUUCCGGAGCUAACGCGUUAAGUCGACCGCCUGGGGAGUACGGCCGCAAGGUUAAAACUCAAAUGAAUUGACGGGGGCCCGCACAAGCGGUGGAGCAUGUGGUUUAAUUCGAUGCAACGCGAAGAACCUUACCUACUCUUGACAUCCACGGAAUUUGGCAGAGAUGCCUUAGUGCCUUCGGGAACCGUGAGACAGGUGCUGCAUGGCUGUCGUCAGCUCGUGUUGUGAAAUGUUGGGUUAAGUCCCGCAACGAGCGCAACCCUUAUCCUUUGUUGCCAGCACUUCGGGUGGGAACUCAAAGGAGACUGCCGGUGAUAAACCGGAGGAAGGUGGGGAUGACGUCAAGUCAUCAUGGCCCUUACGAGUAGGGCUACACACGUGCUACAAUGGCGUAUACAAAGAGAAGCAAACUCGCGAGAGCCAGCGGACCUCAUAAAGUACGUCGUAGUCCGGAUUGGAGUCUGCAACUCGACUCCAUGAAGUCGGAAUCACUAGUAAUCGUAGAUCAGAAUGCUACGGUGAAUACGUUCCCGGGCCUUGUACACACCGCCCGUCACACCAUGGGAGUGGGUUGCAAAAGAAGUAGGUAGCUUAACCUUCGGGAGGGCGCUUACCACUUUGUGAUUCAUGACUGGGGUG